rnacentral:rRNA from 1 species
UACACAUGCAAGUCGAACGGGAUCCGCCAAGCUUGCUUGGUGGUGAGAGUGGCGAACGGGUGAGUAAUGCGUGACCAACCUGCCCCAUGCUUCGGAAUAGCUCCUGGAAACGGGUGGUAAUGCCGGAUGCUCCGCACUGUCGCAUGAUGGUGUGGGAAAGGGUUUACCGGCAUGGGAUGGGGUCGCGUCCUAUCAGCUUGUUGGCGGGGUGAUGGCCUGCCAAGGCUUCGACGGGUAGCCGGCCUGAGAGGGCGACCGGCCACAUUGGGACUGAGAUACGGCCCAGACUCCUACGGGAGGCAGCAGUGGGGAAUAUUGCACAAUGGGCGCAAGCCUGAUGCAGCGACGCCGCGUGCGGGAUGACGGCCUUCGGGUUGUAAACCGCUUUUGAUUGGGAGCAAGCGAGAGUGAGUGUACCUUUCGAAUAAGCACCGGCUAACUACGUGCCAGCAGCCGCGGUAAUACGUAGGGUGCAAGCGUUAUCCGGAUUUAUUGGGCGUAAAGAGCUCGUAGGCGGUUCGUCGCGUCUGGUGUGAAAGUCCAUCGCUUAACGGUGGAUCGGCGCCGGGUACGGGCGGACUGGAGUGCGGUAGGGGAGACUGGAAUUCCCGGUGUAACGGUGGAAUGUGUAGAUAUCGGGAAGAACACCGAUGGCGAAGGCAGGUCUCUGGGCCGUCACUGACGCUGAGGAGCGAAAGCGUGGGGAGCGAACAGGAUUAGAUACCCUGGUAGUCCACGCCGUAAACGGUGGAUGCUGGAUGUGGGGCCCGUUCCACGGGUUCCGUGUCGGAGCUAACGCGUUAAGCAUCCCGCCUGGGGAGUACGGCCGCAAGGCUAAAACUCAAAGAAAUUGACGGGGGCCCGCACAAGCGGCGGAGCAUGCGGAUUAAUUCGAUGCAACGCGAAGAACCUUACCUGGGCUUGACAUGUGCCGGACGGCCGCGGAGACGCGGCUUCCCUUCGGGGCCGGUUCACAG